UAUAUCGACGAGUUUUGACGCUAAUCACUGACAAGAAAUUUCGUUCAAUGGCACCAUUUUGAAUUAUUUCUGGAAAAUUUGAUAUUUACGAAAAUAAGCGCUACUAGGGAGAGCAGCUCUAACUAAAACCCAGAUACAGACAUUUGUUCGGAGCAUAUACUCUUCUUUUAUCUAUGGUUCGGAGAUUACCGACCACCUAACACCCUGGAGUUGUUUCCGGUGUUGAGCAUAACUUGUCAAAAUUUCAGCAGUGUUGUUUUCUGUAAAUCAUUUAGUGUAAUUCUUCUGCUCAGCUCAUGAUCGGUUAUAAUGUUCGGUCUCAUCUUUUGCCUGUAUCGUGUCGUGUCCGCCAUUUUCUGUUCAAGUACACCAUCGAAAAGUGACAAGACAAUGUAUUAUAAUUGCCACAUGAUCAGAAACAAAUUGAACGCUUAUUUACGAAUCCCAGCAUCAAAACUGGGAAAGCUUGUCCCUCAAGGAUGAUUUGUAAUAUUGAUCAUAAUGGAGCAGUUGAUGUGAAGUUCUGGAAGACACAUGUAGGGCACAAUAAAUAGAAUAAGUUAACUUCUUUAGACAAGAAGCUGGAAGAACAUAUCAAGGAUCAAGUUAUAGCAGGAGUUUCGGAUGAUAAAAUUAU